ACGUAUCCACGUAUAAACCAUUGUGAACCGUUCAUUAACCUUUGUUUUUUCGAACAAGAGAGUUGUGAGUCAAACGUUUAAACAGCAAUAGUAAUUGAGCUGUUGUUUGAUUCGCCGCAGUCGAUGUUUUCUCUCCGGAGUUCUCGACUACGCUUGUGAAAAAUUCAAAGUGUAUUCAAUUACUACUUAUUAACCAUUAUAACCCAAUCUUUAUAACUUUAUGAACUAACUUUAUUUUAUACUCUUCGGAGAUAAAAUUCAUUACGAAACAAAGAACAACUCUUAGCAACGGAUAUCUUGGUUCU
rnacentral:misc_RNA from 1 species